GCCAUCCUCUUUGGCCUAAAUAAACAGCGACUUAUUGCAAAUUAACAGUUUGUACAAGUCCUUCGCGAAUUAUCGUAUAAGUGGCCUUUCCGUCACAUCGUUGAUAAAACAAGUUUAAUUAUAGGGUUAAUAAAUCAGCGAGCAAUUAGUCGUCUUAUUGAUAAAUAUAUUUUAUCUUAUUAAUUAAUUGUACAUCAUGUUUGUCUGGCAUAGAUAUAGCGGAAUAAAAAUCGCAUGAAAAGCCUACAUGGGUACCGUAUACGGUGUAUAACGGUAAUGACGAACUCUAAGCGUUCUGGGUACUCUAUAAAGCAGAGUAGCUGCGUCAAAAUUAUAUAUUGUUGGUCGACUCUGUUAGGCGAAAAUAUGAAGGGAAAUUUGAAUACUAAGGCACCAGGGGCCGGUUGUUCAAAGCUGGGUUAGCUUAACCCUAGGUUAACCUAAAAUUCAAAGCAAACUUCCCGAUAGCUUGUCUAUAAAUUUGGAGAUAUUUCUUCAGAAAUCUUGUCUGGAUCGAUAGAGGUUUACUUCUCUGAAGUUUUGAAAUAAACAGACGUGCAGAAAUACACAAACUAAAACACCGGGUUAAAUUUUAACCCAGGGUUAGUGCUAACCCACCUUUGAACCGGCCCCAGUUUUCCGUAGCGGCGCGAAAAAGCACCUAUCUGAUACGGAAUGUACAAGUUUCAGAAGCUGAGCGAAACAAGAUCUCUCCGUUGCAAUAAUUCCUCUGAAAAUAGCGUUCCUAAAAGGUACGGAAAGGCGAUUUUCACGUCGCUACCGAUACGGCUAUCCAAGUAAGUAUAUGGCCUGUUCAUACAAGUCCGCGGUAAUCUGUACAAAAUUAGGUCUGUACUUCAUCUUCCAGUGAUAUUUUGGAUCUGUAUAUAUAGCUUACCCAAUGAAUCUACUCUAACCCCAAACAAAUCUUAAAGUAUAUGUGCUGAUCCAAAAUAUCUUUUCAAGCCGACGAAUUGCUUAUUAAAAUAGUGCCGUGAGAGACGUGCUACUCAGUUUGUAUGUACAUAUAUAACAUGAACCGAGUGAGCACUGAUUUCAAAAUUUUGGUGAAAAUCAGUGUACAAAAAUAUGCAGAUUUGAGAUGUUUCGGUUUGUCAGACAGGGUUGUUCCUAGCGCGUAAUUAGGGGAGGGGGUGUAUAUUCAUAUAUUGGUGUUUUGCCCGACGGAUUUUUUUUGAGACCGAUUGUUUUUACGGUAUGUGAACGUGAAUAUAUGAAUAUACACCCCGCCCCAAUUAUCGCGUCUAGGAACGGCCCUGCUGUCAGGAAUGUUGGAACAACUUCAUGCAACAAUUCUGUUGAGCUCAACAACAACCUUGUAUAGCAAGUUUUCAACAAGCCGUUGACAACUUGUUAACAAGCUGGAAACAAGCAGUGCGAACACAUCCUGUUGACAAGUUGUCUCAAUAUGUCUCAAUAUUCAAUAUGUCUCUUCCAUCACCCGCGGUUUUAAACAGCAUCGUUCGAUCAAUUGACCAUUUGCGUAAUAGACUAAAUUUUUAUCUCAACAAAAAUUUCAUUACAGCUUGAAAGAGCAUCACAAAAUUAGUAAUAUUCCAAAGUUUCGUUGCAAAAUGUUGUAAAAUGCGGAAAA